rnacentral:tRNA from 1 species
GCAGGUAUGGCGGAAUUGGCAGACGCGCACGGUUCAGGUCCGUGUGAAUUUACGUUCAUGCAGGUUCGACUCCUGUUACCUGCACCA